UGGAUCCAGACUUUGAUUAUGGCUCAGGAUGAACGCUAGCUACAGGCUUAACACAUGCAAGUCGAGGGGCAGCAUGAAGUCAGCUUGCUGAUUUUGAUGGCGACCGGCGCACGGGUGAGUAACGCGUAUCCAACCUACCUCUUACCAAGGGAUAGCCCGUCGAAAGGCGGAUUAAUACCUUAUGCACUCCGGCGAUGGCAUCUGAUCCGGAGUAAAGAUUCAUCGGUAAGAGAUGGGGAUGCGUCCGAUUAGCUUGUUGGUGGGGUAACGGCCCACCAAGGCUUCGAUCGGUAGGGGUUCUGAGAGGAAGGUCCCCCACAUUGGAACUGAGACACGGUCCAAACUCCUACGGGAGGCAGCAGUGAGGAAUAUUGGUCAAUGGAGGCAACUCUGAACCAGCCAAGUAGCGUGCAGGACGACGGCCCUAUGGGUUGUAAACUGCUUUUAUACGGGGAUAAAGUGAGCCACGUGUGGUUUAUUGCAGGUACCGUAUGAAUAAGGACCGGCUAAUUCCGUGCCAGCAGCCGCGGUAAUACGGAAGGUCCGGGCGUUAUCCGGAUUUAUUGGGUUUAAAGGGAGCGUAGGCCGGCUUUUAAGCGUGCCGUGAAAUUUUGUGGCUCAACCAUGAGAGUGCGGCGCGAACUGGAGGUCUUGAGUGUGCGGAAGGCAUGCGGAAUUCGUGGUGUAGCGGUGAAAUGCUUAGAUAUCACGAAGAACUCCGAUUGCGAAGGCAGCAUGCCGCAGCAUUACUGACGCUGAAGCUCGAAAGCGCGGGUAUCGAACAGGAUUAGAUACCCUGGUAGUCCGCGCGGUAAACGAUGGAUGCCCGCUGUCGGCGAUAAACAGUCGGUGGCCAAGCGAAAGCGUUAAGCAUCCCACCUGGGGAGUACGCCGGCAACGGUGCAACUCAAAUGAAUUGACGGA
rnacentral:rRNA from 1 species